rnacentral:misc_RNA from 1 species
GUGAGUCAUCGAAUCUUUGAACGCACAUUGCGCCUCUCGCGAGGGAGGCAUGCCUGUCUGAGCGUCGUUUAAAACCAUAGCCGGGGCUCUCAAUGGCCCCGUCUGUCCUGGGCCUCGCCUCUGGGCGUACCCCCAAUGUCAUCGGUCUCAUCCGUGGACGAGUCCCCAUAGGGCGGACCACGGCGGGACCCUAAAUCGCAUCGAGAUUUGACCUCAGAUCAGGUAGGGACACCGCCUGAACUUAAGCAUAUCAAUAAGCGGAGGA